rnacentral:precursor_RNA from 15 species
GUGUUAAAAAACCAAAUUGAUAUCUUGGUUUAGGUUUCACAGGAAACUGGUUUAAUAACGAAAACUAGUUUCCUCUAAAAUCCUAAUCAAGACAUCAUGUGUCGUCGCAUCGAGAA